AUGCAGAACAACGAUUUACGCAAGAAGAGUGCAGCGGAAAUUGAUUUCUUUACUGAAUAUGGCGAUACUAAUCGAUACAAAGUUCUGGAGGUCAUAGGCAAAGGUAGUUAUGGACUUGUAUGUUCUGCAAAUGAUACACAAACAGGAGAGAAGGUUGCAAUAAAGAAGAUACACAACAUAUUUGAGCAUAUAUCGGAUGCUGCACGCAUACUCCGUGAAAUCAAGCUUCUCAGGCUUCUUAGGCACCCUGAUGUAGUGGAAAUAAAGCAUAUCUUGCUCCCCCCAUCCAAAAAGGAUUUCAAAGAUAUAUAUGUUGUCUUCGAACUUAUGGAGUCAGAUCUUCAUCAAGUAAUAAAGGCUAAUGAUGAUUUGACGAGGGAGCAUUAUCAGUUUUUCUUGUAUCAGAUGCUUCGAGCUUUGAAAUAUAUGCACACAGCAAAUGUCUAUCACCGAGAUUUGAAGCCCAAGAAUGUGCUUGCCAAUGCAAAUUGCAAACUCAAAAUUUGUGACUUUGGCUUGGCGAGAGUUGCAUUCAAUGAUGCACCUACGACAGUCUUCUGGACAGAUUAUGUGGCAACGAGAUGGUAUAGAGCACCUGAACUUUGUGGGUCCUUCUAUUCUAAGUAUACACCAGCUAUUGAUAUAUGGAGUAUAGGGUGCAUUUUUGCCGAGGUGUUGAUUGGAAAGCCUCUAUUUCCUGGUAAAAAUGUUGUUCACCAGCUGGAUUUGAUAACUGAUGUUCUGGGGACACCUUCGUUAGAUGCUAUUUCUCAGGUGCGGAAUGACAAGGCAAGAAAAUAUCUGACAUGCAUGCGGAAGAAACAGCCUGCUUCGUUUUCGCAGAAAUUUCCAAAGGCUGACCCAUUAGCAUUACGAUUGCUUAGGAGGCUUCUAGCUUUUGAUCCAAAGGAUCGUCCCUCUGCUGAAGAGGCAUUGGCAGAUCCAUACUUUAAUGGACUAGCAAAGGUAGAGCGAGAACCAUCUUGUCAACCGAUACCAAAACUUGAAUUCGAAUUUGAGGGUCGUAGAGUAACAAAGGAGGACAUCAAGGAACUGAUCUUUGAAGAAAUUUUGGAGUAUCAUCCUCAAUUACUGAAGGAGCAUAUCAGUGGAACAGACAGACGAAACUUUGUUCAUUUAAGUGCUGUUGACCAAUUUAAGAAACGCUUCGCUGAACUCGAGGAAAAUGGUGGCGAAAAUGGAUCAGCUGUUUCGACACAGAGGAAACAUUCUUCUUUGCCAAGGCAAUCCUUCAACCCUCGUUAG
rnacentral:rRNA from 1 species